rnacentral:rRNA from 1 species
AGAGCGAACGCUGGCGGCAGGCCUAAUACAUGCAAGUCGAACGCACCUUCGGGUGAGUGGCGGACGGGUGAGUAACACGUGGGAACGUGCCUUUUGGUUCGGAAUAAUCCGGGGAAACCUGGCCUAAUACCGGAUGUGCCCUUCGGGGGAAAGAUUUAUCGCCAUUAGAGCGGCCCGCGUCUGAUUAGCUAGUUGGUGAGGUAACGGCCCACCAAGGCUACGAUCAGUAGCUGGUCUGAGAGGAUGAUCAGCCACACUGGGACUGAGACACGGCCCAGACUCCUACGGGAGGCAGCAGUAGGGAAUCUUGCGCAAUGGGGGAAACCCUGACGCAGCCAUGCCGCGUGAAUGAUGAAGGUCUUAGGAUUGUAAAAUUCUUUCGAGCGGGGAAGAUAAUGACUGUACCCGCAGAAGAAGCUCCGGCUAACUUCGCGCCAGCAGCCGC